UACUGUUUUCUGUCAAAGCUAUUUUCUAUCACUGCGAUCGUCGAUCUUCUUUCUUCUGUAUCACUCCCUUCCAUUUCUCUCUCAAAUCGCUGUUAAAUUUCAUCUUUCUCCGGCUCAGGCCAAAUUCUUUCCCCAGUAUAAGCAAAAUUCCCAACUCUUUCUGUCUUCGGGAAGCCUUUGUCAAGACUCAAGAUCGACAUUUACUGUUACGCAGUAUCAGACUCAGCAGCAGUAAUUGGUCGGUGUCGCCGCCGCCGCCGCCAAUCUUCUCAGAGAUUGAAGAAAAUAACCUUAGGAUUGUUGAAUUUUGUACCCGUUUGAGAUCAAAUUUCAGUCUUUUUUUUUAUUCUUCUAACUGCAGGCACGAUAUCGUCAUAUUGAUUUUGCUCCAGUCUAUGGCAAUGAGAAUGAGGUAUCAAUUUAAUUGUGAAAGAAAGCUUUGGAGGAGAACAUAAUUGUGUAUCUGGAAACUGGUUGUGGAAAGACCUAAAUAGCCGUGUUGCUUAUGUAUGAACCAGUUGAUACUCAAACCUCAGAAGAACAUAUGUGUGCUAAAUCCUGAAGAUCUUUGUGGUAUAUAUGGAUCAAAUUGCUCCCAAUGGAUUAUUGCAAUGGAGUAUUAGAAAGAAUGUGGCUAUCAUGAAGCCUCAUGAAGCAGCCAAAUUAGUUGCAGAAUGAGAUUUUUCAUGUAAAAGGACACUCCCCUGAACUGAAAGAGUAAGCCAAUCACCCAAUCUUAUCUUAGACUGAAGCAUUUUCUUUUUGGUAAUCGCCUUUAUAAAGUAAAAUGUCCACAAAUCUACUUCAAAUUUCAUGUUAUUCUUAGACCUGCAAGAUAUCGUGAGUCUCCAAGCUGAUAAACACUCUUUAUCUUUCUUCAUGAUUGUCUUUCAAACUUCGAGUAUCGUAAACCUCAAAUUAAUUGAUUACUUUUGCAACUUAUUUAGAAAGUCUGGUUAGACUGCUUAUUUCACUUUUGUUGUUAUUGAUAAAUGUUGAGUUUGCAAUACACCUGUUACAAGUUUUUUGUCGUUUAUAUUGCCGGGCAUACCAUUGGAAGCAUGGUAGGAAAUGUCACGGAAUUUUCUGGCUUCAGCCAUCCGAGACAAGUUCGUCUUAGCAGGAGUACAACAUUUCUUUGAUUCUGUUGGAAAGUCAAUCUCCAAUGAGAGUUUCGAGGCUUGAUGGAAUAGAGCCGUAGAGAGCAACAGAGAGAGCUAAGGAAUGUUGCUUAACCAAAACAGAGCUUGCAGCGAUGGAGACAGAAACGACGGCGUGCAGCGAUGGAGACAGAAACGACGGCGAUAGAGAUAGUAUUGUUACGAGUUAUGAACUCAUCAAUGUCUUCUCUUUUGUAGCGCUUAAUUACAAUUUGGGUUUGAUAUUUCCCAGAUCUAAGUUGAAUAAAUAUUUCUCAACGGUGAUUGUUUCGACUGUUUUAUGAAUAUGUUGGUUAAAUGUGUAUUUUUCAAGACACACCUUAUUAAGAUUUGAAGAGAUUGAGGAAAACUU